rfam:Candidatus Bathyarchaeota archaeon B23 scaffold4683, whole genome shotgun sequence.
GCCGGGGUAGCCAAGCCAGGAUACGGCGCCAGUCUUGAAAACUGGUGCUCCCCGGGAGCACGAGGGUUCAAAUCCCUCCCCCGGCG